CAUCCCAAAAUUCUUGUCUUAGAUUUGUCUAGAUACGGAUGUAUCAAGUCACAUUUUAGUAUUAGAUACAUCCGUAUCUAGACAAAUCUAAGACAAGAAAUUUGGGANG
rnacentral:pre_miRNA from 1 species